rnacentral:rRNA from 1 species
GUGCCAGCAGCCGCGGUAAGACAGAGGUUGCAAGCGUUGUUCGGAAUUACUGGGCGUAAAGGGAGUGUAGGCGGCGAAGUAUGUCUGACGUGAAAGCCCUCGGCUUAACUGGGGAAGUGCAUCAGAAACUGCUUUGCUUGAGUGUGAUAGAGGAUGGCGGAAUUCCUAGAGUAGAGGUGAAAUUCGUAGAUACUAGGAGGAACACCAGCAGCGAAGGCGGCCAUCUGGUUCAUAACUGACGCUGAAACUCGAAAGCGUGGGGAGCAAACAGGAUUAGAUACCCCUGUAGUCC